rnacentral:rRNA from 1 species
AACGAACGCUGGCGGCAGGCCUCAAACAUGCAAGUCUAGGGGGUGUAGCAAUACAUCACCGGCGGACGGGUGCGUAACGCGUGGGAAUAUACCUAUCGAUUCGGAACAACUGAGGGAAACUUCAGCUAAUACCGAAUACGUCCUAACGGAGAAAGAUUUAUCGUCGAUAGAUUAGCCCGCGUUCGAUUAGCUAGUUGGUGGGGUAACGGCCCACCAAGGCGACGAUCGAUAGCUGUUCUGAGAGGAAGAUCAGCCACACUGGGACUGAGACACGGCCCAGACUCCUACGGGAGGCAGCAGUUGGGAAUCUUACGCAAUGGGGGGAAACCCUGACGUAGCGACACCGCGUGAACGAAGAAGCCCUUUGGGGUGUAAAGUCUGUCGGCUGGAACGAAAAAAUGACGGUACCAGCAAAGGAAGCAUCGGCUAACUACGUGCCAGCAGCCGCGGUAAU